ACAUGCAAGUCGAGGGGCAGCAGGACUGUAGCAAUACAGUUGCUGGCGACCGGCAAACGGGUGCGGAACACGUACGCAACUUACCCUUGUCUGGGGCAUAGCCCGGGGAAACCCGGAUUAACUCCCCAUAAGAUAGUGGUGUGGCAUCACACAGCUAUUAAAACUUUGGUGGACAGGGAUGGGCGUGCGGCUGAUUAGGUAGUUGGUGUGGGUAACGGCCUACCAAGCCUGCGAUCAGUAACUGGUGUGAGAGCGCGACCAGUCACACGGGCACUGAGACACGGGCCCGACUCCUACGGGAGGCAGCAGUAAGGAAUAUUAGUCAAUGGACGCAAGUCUGAACCAGCCAUGCCGCGUGGAGGAUGAAGGCCCUCUGGGUUGUAAACUUCUUUUACAGGGGACGAAACACUCUUUUUCUAGAGAGCUUGACGGUACCCUGGGAAUAAGCACCGGCUAACUCCGUGCCAGCAGCCGCGGUAAUACGGAGGGUGCAAGCGUUAUCCGGAUUCACUGGGUUUGAAGGGUGCGUANGCGGGCUUGUAAGUCCGUGGUGAAAUCUCUGAGCUUAACUCGGAAACUGCCAUGGAUACUAUGGGUCUUGAAUACUCGGGAGGUGAGCGGA
rnacentral:rRNA from 1 species